rnacentral:rRNA from 1 species
CUACGGGGCGCUGCAGUGAGGAAUAUUGCACAAUGGGGGGAACCCUGAUGCAGCAACGCCGCGUGGAGGAUGACGCAUUUCGGUGUGUAAACUCCUUUUAUAUGUCAAGAAAAUGACGGUAGCAUAUGAAUAAGCACCGGCUAACUCCGUGCCAGCAGCCGCGGUAAUACGGAGGGUGCAAGCGUUACUCGGAAUCACUGGGCGUAAAGGACGCGUAGGCGGGUUGGAAAGUCAGGUGUGAAAUCCUACAGCUUAACUGUAGAACUGCACUUGAAACUUCUAAUCUAGAGUAUGGGAGGGGGAGAUGGAAUUAGUGGUGUAGGGGUAAAAGCCGUAGAUAUCACUAGGAAUACCUAAAGCGGAGGCGAUCUCCUGGAACAUUACUGACGCUAAGGCGUGAAAGCGUGGGGAGCAAACAGGAUUAGAUACCCCCGUAGUC